rnacentral:rRNA from 1 species
UACAGAGGUCUCAAGCGUUGUUCGGAUUCAUUGGGCGUAAAGGGUGCGUAGGUGGCGCCGUAAGUCAGGUGUGAAAUUUCGGAGCUUAACUCCGAAACUGCAUUUGAUACUGCGGUGCUUGAGGACUGGAGAGGAGACUGGAAUUCCUGGUGUAGCGGUGAAAUGCGCAGAUAUCAGGAGGAACACCGGUGGCGAAGGCGGUGCUCUGGGCCAGUACUGACGCUGAGGAGCGAAAGCGUGGGGAGCAAACAGG